AACUUUACAAUGCUGGAAACAGCGAUAAGGGGACCUCGAGUGCCAGGUUACAAAUCUGGCUGUCGUGAUGCCUAAAAAGCAUUGCAUAGCAAGGGCCGGGCAAGACCGGUGCCAGCCGCCGCGGUAACACCGGCGGCUCGAGUGGUAACCGUUAUUAUUGGGUCUAAAGGGUCUGUAGCCGGCCGGAUAAGUCUCUUGGGAAAUCUGGCAGCUUAACUGUCAGGCUUUCAGGAGAUACUGUCUGGCUCGAGGCCGGGAGAGGUGAGAGGUACUUCAGGGGUAGGGGUGAAAUCUUGUAAUCCUUGAAGGACCACCAGUGGCGAAGGCGUCUCACCAGAACGGACCUGACGGCAAGGGACGAAAGCUAGGGGCACGAACCGGAUUAGAUACCCGGGUAGUCCUAGCCGUAAACGAUACUCGCUAGGUGUCGGCCACGGUGCGACCGUUGUCGGUGCCGUAGGGAAGCCGUGAAGCGAGCCACCUGGGAAGUACGGCCGCAAGGCUGAAACUUAA
rnacentral:rRNA from 1 species